rnacentral:rRNA from 1 species
AUUGAACGCUGGCGGCAGGCCUAACACAUGCAAGUCGAGCGAGCGGCGGACGGGUGAGUAAUGUCUGGGAAACUGCCUGAUGGAGGGGGAUAACUACGGGAAACGGUAGCUAAUACCGCAUACCUUCAGAGGUGCCCAGAUGGGAUUAGCUGGUGGGUGGGGUAAAGGCUCACCUAGGCGACGAUCCCUAUCUGGUCUGAGAGGAGGACGAGCCCAACUGGAACUGAGACACGGUCCAGACUCCUACGGGCGGCAGCAGUGGGGAAUAUUGCACAAUGGGCGCAAGCCUGAUGCAGCCAUGCCGCGUGUGUGAAGAAGGCCUUCGGGUUGUAAAGCACUUUCAGCGAGGAGGCGUUACUCGCCGAAGAAGCACCGGCUAACUCCGUGCCAGCAGCCGCGGUAAUUC